GUUCUCACUCUGACAGCGCAUAUAAUAAAAUUGGAACAGUACAGAGAAGGUUACAGACAAUGGCUCCUGCACAAGGAUGACAUGCAAAUCCACGAAGCAUUCCGUAUAUUC
ensembl:snRNA U6 U6 spliceosomal RNA